UGGGGAAUUUUGGACAAUGGGCGAAAGCCUGAUCCAGCAAUGCCGCGUGUGUGAAGAAGGCCUUCGGGUUGUAAAGCACUUUUGUCCGGAAAGAAAUCCUUGGCUCUAAUACAGUCGGGGGAUGACGGUACCGGAAGAAUAAGCACCGGCUAACUACGUGCCAGCAGCCGCGGUAAUACGUAGGGUGCAAGCGUUAAUCGGAAUUACUGGGCGUAAAGCGUGCGCAGGCGGUUUUGCUAAGACCGAUGUGAAAUCCCCGGGCUCAACCUGGGAACUGCAUUGGUGACUGGCAGGCUAGAGUAUGGCAGAGGGGGGUAGAAUUCCACGUGUAGCAGUGAAAUGCGUAGAGAUGUGGAGGAAUACCGAUGGCGAAGGCAGCCCCCUGGGCCAAAUACUGACGCUCAUGCACGAAAGCGUGGGGGAGCAAACAGGAUUAGAUACCCUGGUAGUCCACGCCCUAAAACGAUGUCAACUAGUUGUUGGGGAUUCAUUUCCUUAGUAACGUAGCUAACGCGUGAAGUUGACCGCCUGGGGAGUACGGUCG
rnacentral:rRNA from 1 species